CCUACGGGUGGCAGCAGUGGGGGAUAUUGCACAAUGGGGGGAACCCUGAUGCAGCGACGCCGCGUGGGUGAAGAAGCGCCUCGGCGCGUAAAGCCCUGUCAGCAGGGAAGAAAAUGACGGUACCUGACGAAGAAGCCCCGGCUAACUCCGUGCCAGCAGCCGCGGUAAUACGUAGGGGGCAAGCGUUAUCCGGAUUUACUGGGUGUAAAGGGGGCGCAGACGGGGAUGCAAGCCAGGAGUGAAAGCCCGGGGCCCAACCCCGGGACUGCCCUUGGAACUGCGUGGCUGGAGUGCAGGAGGGGCAGGCGGAAUGCCUGGUGUAGGGGUGAAAUGCGUAGAUAUCAGGAGGAACACCGGUGGCGAAGGCGGCCUGCGGGACUGCAACUGACGUUGAGGCCCGAAAGCGUGGGGAGCAAACAGGAGUAGAUACCCGAGUAGUC
rnacentral:rRNA from 1 species